GUUCUCUGUAUCAUCAUUCUCAUGGGGAGUCAGGCAUUAGACCAGCUGUGCUUCUCCUGCUGUCCUUUAAAUAAAGAUUGGUAUGUGUUCAUUUCCAGCUCUAGAGCUAUGUCUGUGUUGUGUCACAAUCUAUAGAACUCACAUGUAAAGCACAGUCCUUCAGAGACUAGUAACAGCUCUACAAUGUGCUUAUUCUUCCAUGGGUAAGAUACCCUCUUGUCCAUGCUAUAGGGAAAGAAAAAAGGAGAAGGAAAAUAACACUUACUGAGCUUGAUGGAUGUGUUCAAUCUGCCCUCAGCCCCACUUUCCAUCCUUCUCCACCCUGCUCCAUGGCUCACCUCCUGUGACCUUAGUGGACUUUCUUACCAAAUGGCUUCAAGCUGGGUUUGGCCAAUAGAGGACCCUGGAGGAAUUGGAAGGAGACAAGGAGAAAAGGAUGGAAGCUGCCCUAUUCAUUUCCCGAUACCUCAGAGGUUGCCAAGGGCUGACCACAUCUCUCCACAGAAGGUCUCAGCAGCUCUCUGGGGCUAUAUCCCCUGCUCACCUCUGCAUCUCCAAGUCCCAAGACAGGGCCUGACACACGGUAGACACUCAAGAAAGAAAGAAUGGAAGAAGGUCAUUGAGAGAAAGGACACAAGAAAGGUGAAAGGAAGGAAGAAUGCCGAGAGGGAAGAAGGAAUGAGAGACUGGAAGAGGAGCAAAGAAACUUGAAGAGCAUUGUCUUCACUGGUACCUCCAUCUCUGUACCAGGAAGAAGAAAG
rnacentral:lncRNA from 1 species